rnacentral:rRNA from 1 species
GAAUGAACGCUGGCGGCGUGCUUAACACAUGCAAGUCGAGCGAGGCGGAAGGGGGCAACUCCUUCCAGUCGAGCGGCGGACGGGUGAGUAACACGUGGGUAACCUGCCCGGAAGUGGGGAAGUACCUCGGGAAACUCGAGCUAAUACCGCAUAACAUCUUUGGGACGAAAGUCCUGACGAUCAAAGCGGGGUCGCAAGAUCUCGCGCUACCGGAUGGGCCCGCGCCCGAUUAGCUAGUUGGUGAGGUAACGGCUCACCAAGGCUUCGAUCGGUAACCGGCCUGAGAGGGCGAUCGGUCACACCGGAACUGAGACACGGUCCGGACUCCUACGGGAGGCAGCAGUGGGGAAUCUUGCGCAAUGGGCGAAAGCCUGACGCAGCAACGCCGCGUGGA